rnacentral:lncRNA from 1 species
CAUUUUAAUCGCGAUCGGACGGUCUAGAUUAAAUCGUGAUGGAUGGCUGAGAUUAAAAGGAGAAGGUUAUAAAUAACCUCACUCUCACCCAACCCCAAACCCUAGCCACAAGUACCCUCGCCGGAGAAGAAGACCCAACCACUGGAGGAGCCGGCCGUCGCCACCCGCCGCCGUACCGGAGGAUUUUUCGACCGCCAAACGAGGUAAAUUUUCUUCUCUUAGCUCGUUUUUCGAUGCUGAAUCCGCCUAUGGCCAAAUCAGAGCCAAACCACCGGCCAAUCGGCCGAAAAACACCGCCAAAGUCUAGCGGCGCCGCCGCGACUUCCCUCAAUUUUUGCCUCCGAUGAGGCCCUUCCCGGUUCCCGUUCGAUGAAAUUUUUACACCACUAUGAUUACCAUUCUUUUCUCUACAGGUUGACCAGAGCAAAACAUCGAAUCGCGACUCGCUCCGGAGAAGUCUUCGC